AGCAGCCGCGGUAAUUCCAGCUCCAAUAGCGUAUAUUAAAGUUGUUGCAGUUAAAAAGCUCGUAGUUGAAUUUCGGGAUCAGUACGCUGGUCGUGCCUUCGGUAUGCACUGGUGUCACUGGUUCCUACCUUCUGAAGAACCAUCAUGCCAUUCAGUUGGUGUGGUGGGGAAUCAGGACUGUUACCUUGAAAAAUUAGAGUGUUUAAAGCAGGCUCGCGCUUGAAUACAUUAGCAUGGAAUAAUGAAAUAGGACGUUUAAUUCUAUUUUGUUGGUUUCUAGGAUUGACGUAAUGAUUAAUAGGGAUAGUUGGGGGCAUUAGUAUUCAAUUGUCAGAGGUGAAAUUCUUGGAUUUAUUGAAGACUAACUACUGCGAAAGCAUUUGCCAAGGAUGUUUUCAUUAAUCAAGAACGAAAGUUAGGGGAUCGAAGACGAUCAGAUACCGUCGUAGU
rnacentral:rRNA from 1 species